AGUUUAUACGGAUGCUGCAGUAACGGUGAACGGAGGACUGCGGUAAAGACCGGACCGGAUCUCAUCCCGAGACACUGGACGCUGGUGAGACGCAAAACCAGGAGCCUGGAGUCGUUUAACUAAUUACUGAAACUUUAAUCAAGCCAUCAGAAUGCCUCCACCUGCUGGACAGAGAAGAGCACUGCGAGACGAUGCAUUUACCAAAUAACAAAACUAAAGUCCCACUGCACAUUUCCCACUGACAUGAAUUACAUUAUGAAAUACAACUGGUUGACUUACGAGCCCUGUACUUUUACCCUGUAUAAGAUAUUGCACCAUUCUCUCAGUUCAAACGUUGACAGAGCACCAGCAAUUAACUAUUAAUAAGAUAUAAACAAGACAUUUAAAACAGCUUAAUUUGUCAAAUUCUUUUUAUUUGCAUACACAUCAGGAACAUACAGAGGUCAUGCAUGAACUCUUCUGAAGCUUUGUCACCUCUGUUAAAUCGGAAAGUUCACUCAAACAAGAAAUGGUUCAGUCAUAUACUCAACCUUAUGUCAAAAGCUGUAUGACAAUGUGUAACAAAAAAAAACAAACAAACAUACAAUUUGUCAAAAUUAAAUGCGAUGAAAACUGUGAGUG